rnacentral:rRNA from 1 species
UGGGGAAUAUUGCGCAAUGGGGGAACCCUGACGCAGCAACGCCGCGUGAAGGAUGAAGGCUUUCGGGUUGUAAACUUCUUUGAUGAGGGACGAAAGAAAUGACGGUACCUCAAAAACAAGCCACGGCUAACUACGUGCCAGCAGCCGCGGUAAUACGUAGGUGGCGAGCGUUGUCCGGAAUUACUGGGUGUAAAGGGCGUGUAGGCGGGGAUGCAAGUCAGAUGUGAAAUGCCGGGGCUUAACUCCGGAGCUGCAUCUGAAACUGUGUUUCUUGAGUGCCGGAGAGGAAAGCGGAAUUCCCAGUGUAGCGGUGAAAUGCGUAGAUAUUGGGAGGAACACCAGUGGCGAAGGCGGCUUUCUGGACGAUAACUGACGCUGAGGCGCGAAAGCGUGGGGAGCAAACAGGAUUAGAUACCCUGGUAGUCCACGCUGUAAACGAUGGAUACUAGGUGUAGGAGGUAUCGACCCCUUCUGUGCCGGAGUUAACACAAUAAGUAUCCCACCUGGGGGAGUACGGCCGCAAGGUUGAAACUCAAAUGAAUUGACGGGGGUCAUAGCUGUUUCCU